CCCUUAGAGUUUGAUCCUGGCUCAGGACGAACGCUGGCGGCGUGCUUAACACAUGCAAGUCGUGGGGGGGUAGCAAUACCUCACCGGCGAACGGGUGCGUAACACGUGAGCAACCUACCGAGUUCUGGGGGAUAGCCGGCCCAACGGCCGGGUAAUACCGCAUACGCUCUGACAGUGGAUUCACUGUUUGAGGAAACCUCCGGGGGAAUUCGAGGGGCUCGCGGCCUAUCAGCUAGUUGGCGGGGUAAUGGCCCACCAAGGCGAUGACGGGUAGCUGGUCUGAGAGGAUGGCCAGCCACAUUGGGACUGAGAGACGGCCCAGACUCCUACGGGAGGCAGCAGUGGGGAAUCUUGCGCAAUGGUCGAAAGACUGACGCAGCGACGCCGCGUGCGGGAGGAAGCUCUUCGGGGUGUAAACCGCUGUUGCCCGGAACGAAACGCCUUUUUCGAGAGGCUUGACGGUACCGGGUGAGGAAGCGCCGGCUAACUCUGUGCCAGCAGCCGCGGUAAUACAGAGGGCGCGAGCGUUGUCCGGAAUCACUGGGCGUAAAGGGCGCGUAGGUGGCGGCAUAAGGCUGUGGUGAAAGUCUGGGGCUCAACUCCAGAUCGGCCGCGGCAACUGUGUCGCUAGGGCACCGUAGAGGCAGAUGGAAUUCCGGGUGUAGCGGUGGAAUGCGUAGAGAUCCGGAAGACACCAGUGGCGAAGGCGGUCUGCUGGGCGGUGAGCCGCAAGCUCAAUAGCCGACACUGAGCGCGACAGCGUGGGGAGCAAACAGGAUUAGAUACCCUGGUAGUCCACGCCGUAAACGAUGGGCACUAGUGCUCCGGGGA
rnacentral:rRNA from 1 species